UAGCUUGCGCUGAUUACGUCCCUGCCCUUUGUACACACCGCCCGUCGCUACUACCGAUUGAAUGGUUUAGCAAGGUCAUCGGAUUGGUGCCAUUGUAGUUGCUUCGGCAGCUCGACCGGUGCUGAAAAGACGACCGAACUUGAUCAUUUAGAGGAAGUAA
rnacentral:rRNA from 1 species